UACGUAGGGGGCGAGCGUUGUCCGGAGUUACUGGGCGUAAAGGGCGCGUAGGCGGCGGGGUAAGUCGGGUGUGAAAUCUCAGAGCUCAACUCUGAAAUGGCACUUGAUACUGCUCUGCUAGAGGACUGGAGAGGAGAUUGGAAUUCACGGUGUAGCAGUGAAAUGCGUAGAUAUCGUGAGGAAGACCGGUGGCGAAGGCGGAUCUCUGGACAGUUCCUGACGCUGAGGCGCGAAGGCCAGGGGAGCAAACGGG
rnacentral:rRNA from 1 species